AGUGUCUUGCCUAUGUGAAAUUGGGAUAACACCUGCCCUGCUAGUGAGGCCAACAGUUGGUUUGAUUCCAACAACUGAAUUAGCAUAUGCUGGAUAUAGAAUGGAGCCUGCUGUUUCUGUCCCCAAUGCUACCGCUGCAAGGUUUGCUGCUACUGAUGUUGCAGAACCAGUGCUUGAUCCUGAUGGAUUAGCACUUGCUACAUAAGGAUUCUGUAAUAACAUGAGUAAAAACACUAAAUUAUUACUCUUUUUAGUCAAAUUGUCCUAAAAAAAAGGCAAUCUGGUGAACGAAGCAUAUUUUGCAUUCAGGUAGAAUCCGUCAAUGCCAGCAACAACCUAAGAGGGUACGAUGUAGGUAGUCUACCCUGACACAAGCAUCAGUGACUCAUUCGCCGUCUCGAAAAUGUGAGGUCACACGAAGAAAGCUUUACCAUUGCUCCAACUUAAAGUAUUAUAUACUACUUACUUCGUUUCAAUUUGUGGCACAGUGUCUAAGAAAGUAAAAAAGAUUCUCGAAUCUUGUGAUCUCAAAUAAUGUACCAAAAUGUCCUUUAAUCUUAUGGCCAUAAACAUGUCAUGGGAAAAGUUGAAAUUAAAGAGUUAGCAGAAAAAGGAGACAUCUUAUUGUAACGGACGAAAAACAAAAGUAAGACAAAUAAACUAAAAGAGAGGGAGUAGUUUUUUUCCAGAUCAUAUACUACUUUAAAUCUUUGUUUCUCUUUCAUUCCUAUCUUUUGCAUCUUAACUAAUCACAAAUUUUGCAAAAUAAAUCUAUUUUUACUAACCUGCUCAACUAUCCGAGUUAAACGACUUGAGUUAUGACCCCUUUUUUUGACUUGACCAAAGGGGUUAUGUUAGAGUUUGUGACCCGAAUUUUGUUGAUCCGGCCCUGAAAAGUUCACGGUGCAACCCAUGUUUGUGAUUUUUUGUGGGGUCUGUGGUGAUAGCGGAGGGAUAUUUUGUGAUUUGUUCUUCACUACCAGUGGCGCCACAAUAUUCUAUUGCUAAAGACAGGCCUAGGAGAGAUAUUAGACCUCCUUAGAAGUAUGGUGAAGCUGAAUUGGUUGCUUAUGCAUUGAAUGUAGCAGAAGGUAUUGAUUCCGGUGAAGAACCUUCUUUUUACUCAAAGGCAGUUAGUUGUGAUGAUUCUGGCCGAUGGAUGAUUGCUAUGCAGGAGGAGAUGGAAUCACUUCAUAAGAAUGACACAAGGGAUCUGGUUAGAUUGCCUAAAGAUAAGAAAGUUGUCCAUUGCAAGUGGGUAUUUAAAAAGAAAGAAGGAACAUCGGGAGUUGAAAAUGCUAGGUACAAAGCAAGACUAGUUGCUAAAGGUUACAGUCAGGUUCCAAGUGUUGACUUCACAGAUGUGUUUUCUCCAGUUGUAAAUCAUAGUUCGAUUUGAGCCUUAGUUGGUAUUGUGGCCAUGCACAAUCUUGAGCUUGAGCAGUUGGAUGUUAAAACUGCAUUCUUACAUGGAGAACUUGAGGAGGACAUCUAUAUGCAACAACCAGAGGGUUUUGUAGUCUCAGUCUAGGAAGACUAUGUAUGCUUGCUGAAAAAGUCUCUUUAUGGCUUAAAACAGUCGCCCAGAUAGUGGUAUAAGAGAUUUGACUCUUUUAUGACAGUAGUUAUGAUAGUUGUGUCUAUUUCAAGGAGGUAAAUGAUGGUUCAUUCGUGUAUCUUCUCUUGUAUGUUGAUGAUAUAUUGAUAGCAACAAAGGAUAUGAGAGAGAUAAUAGAAGUCAAAGUCCAGCUCAGCAAGGAGUUUGAGAAGAAGGAUCUAGGAGUAGCAAAGAAGAUCCUUGGCAUGGAAAUUCUGAGGGAUGGAGAGAAGUGUAAGUUAUACCUGAAUAAGACAAGGUAUAUUGAGAAAGUGCUUCACAGGUUCAAUAUGCAAAAUGCCAAACCUGUCAGUACUCUAUUGACAGCUCAUUUCAAACUCUCGGCUACAUUAUCCUCAAAGACAGAUGAUGAGUGUGACUAUAUGUCUUGAGUUCCAUACUCUAGUGCCGUUGGAUCUCUUAUGUACGCGAUGGUGUGUUCCCGAUCAGGUGUAUCAUCUACCGUUAGUACAGUUAGCAGAUACAUGGCAAAUUCUGGUAAAGAACAUUGGAAAGAAGUUCAGUGGAUUUUCAAAUACUUGCAUGAAUCUGCCGAUAUUUGUUUGUAGUAUGGGCGAUAUAGAGAUGGAGUGAUCGGGUAUGUUGAUUCUGAUUUUGCAAGAGACCUUGAUAAAAGGAGAUCCCUUAUAGGCUAUGUUUUCACCAUUUGUGGUUGUACUAUUAGUUGGAAAGCUACUUUACAGACUACAGUUGCCUUGUCAACUACUGAUGCAGAGUACAUAUUACAAAGGCUUGCAAAGAAGCUAUUUGGUUGAAAGGUCUGUUUAGUGAACUUAGCAAAGACUAACAAAUUAUUACGAUCUUUUGCGACAACCAGAGUGCUAUCUUCCUUAUAAAAGAUCAGAUGUUUCAUAAGAGGACAAAGCACAUCGAUGUUCGGUACCAUUUUGCGUGUGAGAUUAUUGCUCGUGGUGAUAUUGUGGUAAGCAAGAUUAGUAUCUAUGAUAACCCCGUUGAUAUGAUGACCAAGACACUACCAAGUGCCAAGUUUGAGCAUUGCUUGGACUUGGUUGGUGUCAGCAGUUAAGAUGUGCCCUGUUAGAUCAAUGAUGUUCUGAUGAUUGAUAUAUAAAUAAAUCAUGUUACUUUAGUUGGUCCAAUCACACGAAGACAGUCACUAAGGGAAGUAGAUGAGGUUCGUCAAAGCUUGAAUGGAUAAGUUCUAUUGAGUAAUCACGUGUGAUAAAGAAGAAGUUGUAGUUGAAUACAACAAUUUAUUGAUAAGCUGAAGAGAAAAAAGAGAAAGAGUUUUAAUCAAACAAGGAGAUCAAGUUGAAGAAGGAGUUUUACCAAUACAAGGAGUUGUACUAGAAGACGGACUUUGAGUUGACAACAAACUCUGUUAAAUUAAAGAGUCCAAAGCAAGGUAGAAAACCAAUGACUUUGAAGGACUCUUUGAAGAGUUGUUAUAUAUCAAGGGAGUAACUAAUUUCGUCACUCACGCACUUACAAAGAUAGCAGCACAUCAACGAAUUAGCAGUGAAGUUCCAAAUCUUGAAGCAGCCUGAGUUGAACCUGUUCCUAGUAUUUAGAGUUCGUGAGUCUUAGACAUUAUGUAUUAGAAUGGCUCUUAAGUUGUAUUGUUUUCUAGUCUCAGAGAAGUAUAAACUGAGUUAGGAGCAUUGUCUUCAAGUUGGGAACUCGAAGACUUGGGAACACUCACCUUGAGGAAGGGUUGUGUUUUUGUAGAAAUAUGAGUUAGAGUUUAAUUCCUAGAUUACAAGAGUCUUGUAAUUUAUUGAUUGUUGAGGCUCAACUGUUUUAGUGGAGUUGGGAUUAAAUCCUGUAGAGAGGUACAGGUCGUGGUUUUUUAUACCUCUUUGAGCCGGGCGUUUUCCACGUAAAUAUCAUUGGUUUUAACCUGUUCCAUUAAUAGGCAACUGCUAGGCUAGAAUAAGUAAUCAGUAGGGCACGAACUCUAAUAUGACCUUAGGGGCUUUUGUGGAAGAGGUAAAGAGUUUUCUCGAAACGGAUUUGAGUUCUGAAUUAGAAUUCGUGUCAAGGUGGAGAUUGUUAGAGUUUGUGACCGGAAUUUUGUUUAUCUGAAAAGUUCGCAGUGCGACCCAUAUUUGUGAUUUUUAGUGGGGUUGUUUUUGGUGGUUUUUUACGUCAUUGAGACUUUCGUCUCCUCCUUAUACUCCCCUCCAUUAUAGUGAAUUUGGUUAGACCAUGUGAGGCGGCUUAGCUUAUGAUCCAUUAUGUGGCUCAUCAUGACCUGUUUGAGUGGAUCAAAUUCGACCCAACCCGCACAUUUACCACCCAUGAUGAAUCAAAACUAUAUAUAUUAGUAUUAACAUAUGACUCACCAGAGCUUGUCCAAGUCUUCCAUUCCAACCAUCAGGCAUCUUUGAAGAUCUAGAACCAGCCCACUCAGUCAUAGUUGCCUUGCCAAGUAUGAUAGCACCAGCAUUUCUCAACUUCUUGACCACACCAGCAUCUUGUGGCACAAUGGAUCCAACAAGUGCUAAUGAUCCUGCUGUUGUGUUAAGCUUAUCUUUUGUUGCAAUGUUGUCCUUGACAAGAAUUGGUAUACCAUGUAGCCUGCUGGACAGUAGCGCCCCCGAUUUUCGUUCUUGAUCAGCUUUAUCUGCAAGAAAGAGUGCAUCUGGAUUCACUUCUAUGAUCCCUUUUAUAAUUGGAUUAGCUUUCUGGAUUUCACUUAGAUAGAGCUCAACAAGUCGUCUUGAGGUAAGUUUGUUUUGCUUGAAAGCUAUUUGAAUAUCAUCUAUUGUUGUUUCCUUAAAUGAGAAUGUUUUUGCCUCAGUAAUGUUACUGUAGUUGGAUAAUAUCAUGCACUGAGAAAUGAAGGGAGUGGAAAGAACAGACAUUUUUGGUUGUCAAAGUGAUUGAAGAUACUUACGUCAACAUUAGCCACAAAAAAGUGGAUAAGGAAUAAAGAGUCAUGAUAGAGUUGUUUUUGUAUGACUUAUACGUCAUGAGCUGCGGAAACAAUUGUACGAGGGUAGACUACCUACAUACACACUUUUGGGUGUUGCCCUUCUCUAAAUUCUGUUGAUUAUAUAGGUCACGUGUUGAAGCAGGGAAUCAGUCACUAAUGCUUGUGUGAGGGUAGACUACCUACCUUACAUCUCUAAAUUCUGUUGAUACCGAGAUGUUUCAUGCAUCGAGCUGCAUAUUUUUGUAAUAGUGGAGAUGCAUAAUUAGAGCUGACCAUAAAGGUCUACUCCUUCCGAUCCCAAAUAUUAGUUGUUUUGACAAAGUAAAUUUGUUCCAAGAAAAUAAGAAAUUUACUUUCGAUUUUCAUCUUCCAAGUUUACCAUCAACACUUCAAUUCAAUUAUUGGAGUAUUAAUCAAGUGAGACGUUUAAGAGAGACAAAGGUUAGCCUAACAAAUACUUUUAUGAGUAAGGUUAUUAAAUAUAUACUUCUUCAGUCUCAUUUUAUGUGUUUUUUUUUUUAGUUCGUCUUAAAAAGAAUAUCACUUUUUCUUAUUUGGUAAUUAUUUAAUGACAUCAUUGUCAUUUUAUCCUUAGUGGAUCCUACUUAUUAAGAAAAAACAACUAAAAAUUAAACAAUAAAAGAGACAAUUUUGUAAACUUUACAAAAUUAUUACUCCAUCUGUUUCAUAAUAAAUGAAUUGUUGAAUUUUGACACACAGAUUAAGGAAAAAACAUUAAAGACAUAAAUUUAACAUAACUUUUCAUUUUUAUCCCAAAAAAAAGAAAAAGUUGACCUUGUAAUACCUUUUCAAAAAUUAAUUGAUUGUUCAAUGAUUCACUUAUUUUGAAACACUAAUAAAUAGCUCAACAAUUCACGUAAGUAAUUAUUUUUUUAAAUUCCAUGCUCGAUCAAAUAACAACAGAUAAAAUGAGACGAAGAUAGUAUUUUUUAAAUAGCGUGCCAAAAUUGUUAAAUACAGAUAAUAUGAAUCAAUAUUAUAAUAUAUGGAGAGGAUGGCCUGUUGAAAGAUAAGAUGCUUUUAAUGUGAUUUGACAGAUUUAUUUCCAAAAGAUCCAAAAUCCAAAUGCCUUUGUGGGUCCACUAAUCACUAUCAGACUAUUUUUUCUAUAAUACUCUUUCAGGGAAAGCAUAUGUUGCAAAUGACAAAUAAUUCAGAAAUUAUAAUUGUCAUGAUUGGUAAGUCUAUUCUCCUAGUUAAUUGAUCAUUACUACAUGCUAAUCAAUAUAUAUAUAAGUUGAAUGUAGAUCCGGUGAUGUGGCAUUCUUUAGAUUUUCCUUAUCUUCAGCUAUCUCAUUUAAGGAAUCAAUUAGUGCAGAGGCAAGAGAUCUUAGCUUGUUGAGGGAGUAAUCCUUCAUAUUCUCUUUAAUAUCUAAGAGAGAUGAAGGUCUACUUUCAUUUUUGUCUAUGUCUGCCAUCAACACAGGAAGUCCAUCAGAGGCUCGCACCAUUUUUUAUUGCCGUACAGGAAAUGUCUUUCUUUUGUUCAAACUCAUUUGAAUCACUUGAUGAAUCAUUCCACCAAGCUGCAAGCAUCUGACUGGCAAUUUUGUCAGCCUCAGUUUCCAGCUGCACUUCUCGGUGACCUUCUGCUUCCCCUUUUUGGACACCUCUUCAGAUCUAUACAAGUCUUCGAGAAACUUUUUUGCAAUCCGAGCUGUUUCACUAAUUUUUGAGGUGUAAGUAGCUUGUGAAGCCUUCAUUUCUCUGGAUCCUUUUAACGUGUUAGCCUGAUCACGGAAAAUCUGCUCUGAUAUCAAAUGAAAGGAUUGGGGGUGGGUUGGUUCUCGAUUCAGGGAAUUGUUCCCAGAAUCACACACGCAAUAAGAACCAAGAGGAAAAUGCAGUAAGUAAUGCAGGAGUACAAAAGGUAAAGACACUAGGAUUUUUAUAUGCAAACUCCUUGCCUGCCUCCAGGAUUUUUAUAUGCAAACUCAUUGGUUGAGUCAAAAAGAUUGCAACAACUUUUCACCUAACUUUUGUACUAUGUGUCAGCUGAAAAGUUGAUUGUCACAGUGAUAAGUGUGCCCAAUUUGUUCUAUAAUGCGUAGAGGCCUUUGUCGUCACAACAAAAACUUCAAGGAACAUAUUACAAACUAUGAAUUUGUCAAUCAUCAAAACUAAUAACACUUAACCUAUUUAAUUAUUUUUUUAAAAAAUAGAAUUUACAUAUGUGAAAUUUCCAUUUAAAAAUAAAAUUCUGAAAAGUAAAAAAUAUCUCUUUAAUAACCGUUUUAUAAUUCCCUUAAAAUUAUUAUCUCUUCCUCCCCUUUCUCAUCUUUCUUCUUCUUUUCACUUUAUUUCCAUAAUUUUUUUCAUAAAUCACACAUUAUAAUUUAGGACUUGACAAUCAAAAUUGUAUGAAAUGGAAUUACUAUUGUAUUUUAUAUUCACAUUUUAUUUUUGUUUUGUCUUUAAAAAAGAAAAAAAAGGAAAAGCAAUAAAGAGGAACAAAAGAAAGAAAAAAUAAAAUAAACUAAAAUAUCCUGAUAUAACAAGAAACAGUAGGUAGAAACAAACAACAUAUGACUUAUACUAAGGUGUUCUGAUAUAUGUCUUAUUUGUGAUUAUUAUUAAUGAGAAGAGUUAAUGAUCAAAAACACAUCUGAACUAUUGAUAUUUCGCGAGUUUCACAUUGCAAUAACCAGUUGUUCCCUUUUCCGAUCCGAGCUAUCACCAUCGUCCAGGCAGGAAAAGGGAACAACUUACAGUUCAUGAGGUGUAUUUUAAUAUAUAUAGAUGGUGAUAAUUCGGGGUGGAAAAAGAGAACAACCGAUAGUUGGGUGUGAAACUCGCGAAAAUGAUAGUUCAGGUGUAUUUUUGACCAUCAAUAAGCAGAAUGCAUCUGUAAUUGACGACUAGCUAUGAUGCGAAGAUAGAGGCUAAACAUGAAAUUCCUCGGGCAUAACAUUUUCAGUAAAACAAGAAAUUAGGAGAAGUUACUAACUACAUGAGCAUCAGGAAGAUGUGUAAUGUGUUGCAGUUGAGGACAGUGAACAUGAAACAAGAAUCACAUUUCCAUAACAUAACAAUUCUCAAUAGUAUGAAUCUUGCUAGAUAUUAACUAGAGUGGCCAGAAGAUAUAAAAGUUCAUCGAUAUUACUAUAUGAUUAUUUGUCUGUCAACAUUUUGCUCUGGAAUGCUGUACUUGAUAACGAACACAUCAUUUCGGAUGUGCAUACAUUCUAGAUCGAGUCGAAUAUGUAAUUCUUAUCGAGGAUGUGAAGGAGGGGGCUUCCUGAUAUGAGUUGCUUGUUCAAAACCAUAUGCAAUCUCGAUGAGUGUUGGCUCUGAACCCUUCAGUCCUCCAAAGGAAAUUCCAACGGGAACUCCACUUUUAUCAUAACCAGCAGGUACAUUGAUCCCUGGAUAACCUUCGAUCGCGAGAAGACUAGCAAUGUCUGCACCAGGUGACAUCAACGCGUCUAGCUUAUUAACUUUUAUCAUCUUCUCAAACCCGUAUUUGCAUACUUUUGUUAUGUUCCUCAGUGCCUCCCUUUCCAAUUUCCCUAUUCCAUUCGUCUUCUCAGCUGCCAUCAUUAUGCCUUGACCAUAUUCUUUGAACUUUUCCUACAAUAAUAUAUAAGAAGAACCAAUCGCUUAAACUAAGAAGGGGAGCCUUGGAGUAACCGAUAAAGUUGCUACCAUGUGACCAGGAGGUCAUGGGUUCAAGCCUUGGAAACAACCUCUGGCAGAAAUGCAAGGUAAGGUUGCGUACGAUACGCCCUUGUAGUGGGGCCCUUCCCUGGACACCGCGCAUAGCGGUAGCUUUGGUGCACCGGGCUGCCCUUUUUUUUUUCAGUCGCUUAAACUAGAAAUAGCCCGUGGAUGUAUAAUAUAUGUAUGUAUAAUAUGUGAAUAACAGUGUGUAAUUUAUGUUUACCGGAAAAGAACAGUAAACAGUGCAUCCGUCCAGCUACUUUAAACAUCCCUAAAAAGAAUGAAAACAGAUAUAUCUCGAUUCUACUUCUAGUGACAUACAUAAGUUCAGCUAAUUUCAAUUUACAAGUGAAAGCUUUUAGUUCCUGCAAUAAUGUACUACAAACGAAUAUGAACAUACUGUUAACAAAUUAUUUAUGAACAAAGUAGUAAUGGAGUGGCUUUGGCGUGAAUACGACAGAAUGAUUACAUCGAUUCCUAUAACUAAUAUCAACUUUGUCUGAUAUCAAGGUGCAGUUAAUUGAGAUCGACUAGUACUUACCGAAGCUGAAAUCUUGUUAAAGGCUAUGACAUCUGCCAAGGAUCGGACUUGAGUAUGAACUAGCUUCUUAAGAUAUGCAUUUAGGUCCAUCUUGAAUUCAGCAAAAAGUGCUAUGUCUUGAGCAUUAACAAUAGCACUGUAGACCAAGUCGAUGUUAGGUACUUCGACGUUGUCAACUAAUACUACUCCUUUUUGCCUUUCCAGAAAAAAAGCUCAUCUCUAUUAGGAAAUUAAGUAAAACUAAACCAGAGAAAGGCAUAAAACAUAGAUAGACACCUUAACUUUCUGGCAACUGAACACUUUAACUUAGAGCAUGCACAUCAAUUAAUCUCCAUUGUGUUAGUUGAACACUUCAACUAACAAAAUGAUCAUCUAGAAGCCUCCAAAAUUUAUGUGACACAUCAGCAUCGGGAGUCCAUGAAACACAACGAGAACGAGUAGAGGUGUUUAGAUGUGCACUCCCUAAUAUGGAGUGUUUACUUUUCAGUUGAGACUAGUCUUUUAUCUUUGAGAAAUGCAGACGAAAACGGAAAGAUUACCUCAAGGUGUUGAAAUGGUGUUGGCAAGCUUUGAUAUCAUUGGAACCCAAAAGGUCCUUUAAAAUACCUAGUCUUUUAUCUUUGAGCCCAUCAGCCUUAAGAAAUUGCCGGUAUCCACCAUGUGGAAUGUAAGUAGAAGCCUUUUUAGUAGCUGGAAAAUCAUCUCAAUCGAUGCCAACAAUGACAUCAAGAACCUCAACAGCAUGAGAUACUGUCCUGCAGAUUGGUCUGUUCUAUGCAAAAAAACACAUUGUGUGAAGAGAUUUCGAAUGUCUUCUAUGUUCAUGUUUGUUACCAAGUUCGUUGCAUCUCUAACAAACCUACAAUGUCUAAAUUCAGGAUCUAAUAAGUAAUCCUAUUUUGCACCAUCAAUUUUCACUAUUGUUCAAAAAUCUAGCAUUAAACAGUUCUGCAAAGAGAAAAAAGAUCGAAAACUCCAUCCAUUCUAGUUCUAGUUUAUGUGAGCUAUUUUCUAUCAGCUAGUCUGUUCCAAAAUGAAUGACACAUUUCUAUAUCCGGAGUUUUACUCUAAAUUUCUCGUUUUACCCUUAAUAAGAGUUUCAAAAGCCAACACAAAAAAUGACUCUAAUGAAGGUUAAACAUUCUGUGUAGAGGAAGAAAGUCAUAAUAUUGUAGCUGCGCACGGUUAUUUUUGCCGAUUGAUCUUCCAAUAUGCUAAUUUAACGACUCUCGUUCAUUACACUUCUUCCUUGCUGCUUGACAUCUAGCUGAUAGUAGGUUUACCGCUUUAGGUGUCAACACUACAACUUUCAGUCUAAGUAGUUUCAGUUACAACCAAUCUAUAGUUGAUAUUCAAAGAUCGAGUAAUUAAUACAUGAACUUCCCCUUCUUUCUUAAAGUAUGCACCAAGUCAAACUAUGUUACAUACAUUGUGACGAGAGUACUACUAGAGGAGAAAAACAUUCAGAAGAUCUAAAGUCUGAACUUUUACGUACCCAACAGUGUCUUGCAAUUGUGAAAUUGGGAUAACACCUGCCCUGUUAGUGAGGUCAACAGUUGGUUUGACUCCAACAACUGAAUUAGCAUUGGCUGGAUAUAGAAUGGAUCCUGCUGUUUCUGUCCCCAAUGCUAGUGCUGCAAGGUUUGCUGCUACUGAUGUUGCAGAACCAGUGCUUGAACCUGAUGGAUCAGCACUUGCUACAUAAGGAUUCUGUAACAACAUGAUGAGUAAAAAACACCAGGUUAUUAAACUCUUUUUAGUCAAAUUAUCAAAAAAGGCAGCCACGAGGGGGUGUGCAUAGACAGUCUGCCCUGACGUAAGCCUAGUGGUUGAUUCCCCAGCUCAAACAUGUGACCUAUAAGUCACACAGAAACAACUUUACCAUUGCUCAAACUUAAAGUAGUAUAUAGUGUUUAAUACUAUUAUAGGCUUCUUCAAAUCUUUGUUUGUCUUUCAUUUUUAUAUUUUGCAUCUUAACUAAUAUCAUAGAGGCGGUAUCAUCAUUUUUUUUCACUAAUUUUCUCAAUCUAUAAGUUUAACGACUUGAGUUAUGACCUGUUUUGGGACUUGAAUUACUUCUUCAUUACUCUUACAUGCUUGACUUAGUUAAGCUGUAUUUAGGGGAAUCAUUUUUUCUCAAUCAAUAAAGAACGAGACUUUACCAAACAAGCACCGAUAUUGAUGAUAGUGACCUUGAUACGGAGCUGGAACUGCAGAGAGACUCUUCCUAUCUUAUUAGUCAAGCGCUAAUUUACUGACAAUCACAUGUUAUAAUUCACUAGUGGUAUAAAAUUCCUUAUACCGUCCGUCAGCAUAUAUAACUUAAAAUUUUUUUACCAAUGACUCACCAGAGCUUGACCAAGUCUGCCAUUCCAACCACUAGGGAUAUUCUCAGUUCUAAAAGCAGCCCAUUCAGUCAUAGUUGCCUUGCCAAGUAUGAUAGCACUAGCAUUCCUCAACUUCUUGAUCACACCAGCAUCUUGUGGCACAAUGGACCCAACAAGUGCUAGUGAUCCUGCUGUUGUGUUAAGUUUAUCUUUUGUUGCAAUGUUGUCCUUGACAAGAACUGGUAUACCAUGUAGCCUGCUGGACAGUGGUACCCCCGAUUUUCGUUCUUGAUCAGCUUUAUCUGCAAGAAAAAGUGCAUCUGGAUUCACUUCUAUGAUCCCUUUAAGAAUUGGAUUAGCUUUCUGGAUUUCACUUAGAUAGAACUCAACAAGUUGUGUUGAGGUAAGUCUGUUUUGCUUGAAAGCUAUGUGAAUAUCAUCUAUACUUGUUUCCUUAAAUGAGAAUGUUUUCGCCUCAGAUUUGUUCCUGAAGUUGGAUAAUAUCAUGCACAGAGAACUGAAGAGAAUGGAAAAAAGAGACAUUUUUUGUUGUCAAAGUGGUUGAAGCUAUCUACUUCAAUAUUAGUCACAUAAAAAUGGAUAGGGAAUAAAGAGUCUUGGAGAAAUGAUAAAGAGUUGUUUGUUUAUGACUUAUAGAUCACGUGUUCGAGCGGUGGAAUCAUUCAGUAAUGCUUGUGUGAGGGUAGACUACCUACAUUACACACUUUGGGGUGCGGCCCUUCUUUAACAAGAAAGCAAAAAAGAACUGAAUUCAUGUCCUCAACCAAAGAUCAACAGGCAGAAUACAUCUUUAUUUGACAACUAACUAUCACACCAUGAUAGAGGCUAAACAAGAAAUUCUUUAGGCAUAACAGUCAGUAAAAUAAGACACUGUGAGAGGUUACAAACUACAUGAGCAUCAACACAGCGAGCAGAUAGAAGUAUCACAUCUCAAUUGGACUACUAUUGUUUUUGUCGGAUUAAGAGAAAGAUGGAUAACAUAAUAAUUCUCGAAGGUAUGACUCUUGCUAGAUAUUAACUAGAAUGACUCGAAGAUAUAAAAGUUCAUCAACGUUAUUUUAUGAUUUUUUUUUUCCUUUUGUCAACAUUUUGCUCUGGAACGUUGUACUUGAUAAUUAACAAAUCAUUUCAGAUGUGCAUACAUUCUAGAUUGAAUCGGAUAUGUAAUCCCAAUGAGGAUGUGAAGGAGGGGGCUUUCUGAUACGAGUUGCUUGUUCAAAGCCAUAUGCAAUCUCAAUGAGUGUUGGCUCAGAUCCCUUUAGUCCUCCGAAGGAAGUUCCGAAUGGAACUCCACUUUUAUCAUAACCAGCAGGUACAUUGAUCCCUGGAUAACCUCCUAUCGCGAGAAGAUGAGCAAUGUCAGCACCAGGUGACAUCAAUGCGUCUAACGCCUUUUCCUUCAUCAUCUUCUCGAACCCGUAUUUACAUGCUUUUGUUAUGUUGCUCAGUGCCUCCCUUUCCAAUUUCCCUAUUCCAUUCGUCUUCUCAGCUGCCUCCAUUAUGUCUUGACCAUAUUCUUCGACUUUUUCCUACAAUGAUAUAUAAAAGGAAAGAAGAAAAAUCAACUUAGAUGGCCGCACAUCCAACCUCUUAAACUAAAUAUUGUUUGCGGAUGUAUAAUAUGUGUAUAAUCCACAUAUAACAUGUGUAUAACCGUGUAUAAUCUGUAUAUCGGCGAGGAACGAUAAGCAGUGAAUCCAGCCAACUAUUUAUGUAAAGUUCCCUAAAAAGAAUGAAAAACAGAUAUACUUCGAUUCUACUUCUACAGACAUGUAGUUCAGCUAAUUUCAAUUAACAAGUGAAAGCUUUUAAUUCCUGCAAUAAUGUACUGCAAACCAAUAUGAACAUAUUGUUAAAAAUUAUUUAUGAACAAAGUAGUACUGGAAUGACUUCAGCCCAAAUAUGACAGGAAUGGUUACAACAUUGUAUAACUGAUCUCAACUUAAUUUUCUAAUAUCGAGGUGCAGUUAAUUGAUUGACUAAUACUUACCGAAGCUGAAACCUUGUUGAAGGCAAUAACAUCUGCCAAGGAUCGGACUCGAGUGUAGACUAACUUUUUAAGAUAUGCAUUUAGGUUCAUCUUGGAUUCAGCAGAAAGUGCUAUGCGUUGAGCAACAACAAGAGCAUCUUGGACCAAGUCGAUGUUAGGUAUUUCCAGGUUGUCAACUAAUACUGCUCCUUUUUGCCUUCAAAUAUUUCCAAGAAAAAAAGAUGCAUCUCUUAUAGGAUUAACAUAAUAAAUCAAAAUCAAACAUGAUAUUUGGACACAAAAUAAUUACCAUUGACAACAAUCACGCACCAGAGGUUAUGAGAUAACUCUGACAAUGUGCUUGUAUAAGGCAUAAUACAUAAGCAUACACUCAAACUUGGUCUCAACUGGCAAGUAGGCACUCAAGCUUUGAGAGUGCACAUCUAGACACCGGAACUUGGUCUCAACUGGGAACUAAACACUCCAACUUGUCCCCACUGUGUUUCGUGGACACUAGACACUGACGUGACACAUAAAUUUUGGAGUUGUCUAUCAUUUUGUAAGUUAAAGUGUUCAGAAGUGACACAUAAAUUUUGGAGGUGUCUAUCAUUUUGAAAGUUAGAGUGUUUAAUUGACGCAAUGAAGAAACUAGUUGAGGUGUCUGGAUGUGCAUAUUAAAAGUUGGAGUGUUUAGUUGCCACUUGAGGUCAAGUUAAAGUGUCGAUCUAUGUACUAUGCCUUUAUAUAAGGUCUAGAGAGAGAACCUAGCUGAAACUAGUGAAAUCGUGAGGGCCCUCCCAUACGCCUAUCAAGUUGAGCCUACACUCACCGCCGGCUAUACAGGACCGGCCAAGCACAUAAAGUGCACGGUCUAAUAAUGAGUAAAACUAAACUAUAGAAAUAUAAGUACAAGUGAAAAGGAUUACCUAAAGGUGUUAAAAUGCUGUUGGUACGUCUUGAUAUCAUUGGAACCAAAAAGGUCCUUUGAAAUACCUAGUCUUUUAUCUUUGAGCCCAUCAGCCUUAAGAAAUUGCCGGUAUCCACCAUGUGGAAUGUAAGUGGAAGCCUUUUUAGUUGCUGGAAAAUCAUCUCGAUCGAAGCCAACAAUGGCAUCAAGAACCUCAACAGCAUCAGAUACUGUCCUGCAGAUUGGCCUGUUCUACGACAAAAAAGCAUUGUAUGAAAACAUUUUCGAUGUCUUCCAUGAUCAUGUUUGUUACCAAGUACUUGCAUUUUUGCUACUCUAAUGCAGCCUACAACGUCUAAAUUGUGGAUCUAAUACUAAAAACAAGUAGUCCUAUUUUGCAUCAUCAAAUUUUUCGCAGCUGUUCAAAACUCUGGCAUUAUAUAGUUCCACAAAGAGAAAAAAGAAUACUCCAUCCAUCCAAAAAGAAUGACACGUUUCCAUAUCUGAAAUUUUACUCUAAAUUUCUCGUUUAACCCUUAAUAAAAUGUUUCUAUAGCCACAUCAAUUCUAUAACAACCACAAUUUUCAACUUUCAAAAGCCAACACAAAAAAUGAGUCUUUUAGCGAAGUUAGCAUAUUUUGUCAAGAGGAAGAAACUUAUUACAUUGUAGCCGCUCAUGGUUAUUUUUGCUGAUUGGUCUUCCAAUGUGCUAGUUUCAAUGACUCUCUUUCGUUACAUUUCUUCCUUGCUGCUUGGCAUAUAGUGUCAAAUUUGUGCCGAAUGUCUCUCAAUGUUGAGAGUCUUGCCAUUAAAUAGAAAGUAUUCAAAGAUUACAUCCCAAAAAAUCCGCCUUUCCUGUCGCUACUAUCCCUUUGAAUCCGCUAUUGUAUCCCUUAUAAUCUGCUAUUCUAUAUCUUUGAUUACUACAUCAUAUCUCUAUAAUUACGAAUAUACUACAAUAUAUAAUUACAUUAAUAUAUACAAUAUUCACUAUUAAUUCAUGAUCUUUGAGUUGUCCAUCAUGCUAACAUAUAGUAGGUAUCUGGUUUACCGCCAGUGGCGGAGCCACAGCCAACGAAGGAUGGUCAGAUGAACACCCUUCGUCGAAAUUUUUUCUGACCAUCCUUCGUCGGAAUUUUUUUUCGAGUAUAUAGGUUAAAUAUAAUAUAGAAAUGUUGUUGCACGCCCUUGACAAGCUAGAGAAGCAUAGUCUAUGUGAAGAAAUGGACCUUGGGCCUAACUCAAUCUCAAAAGCUAGCUCAAGAGGUGAGGAUUACCCAAGUCCAUAUAAGCAAACCACUAGUCCAUUCCCCAACCAAUGUGGGACUUUUACCCACUCUAACAUUCUAGUGGUUAAGAGUGUGCAUUUCCGCAUCAACAACCCGGGUUUAAAUCUUGACAGGUGCAGCAGUGCUUUAUUUUCUUUGUUUUUUAAACAGUUCUUUGCCCAAGGAAAAAUAUAAACACCCUUAACCAAAAGUCUGGCUCCGCCACUGUUUACGGCUUUCGAUAUCAACACUAUGGUUUUCAAUCUAAAUAGUUUUAAUUUCAACCAAUCUACAGUUGAUAAUCAAGGGCUUUCCUUUCUUUCUUAAAAUACAUGCCAAAUCAAACUUUCUUAAAAUACAUGCCAAAUCAAACUAUGUCACAUAAAUUGUGACGAUUAAUUUUUACUUACCCAACAGUGUCUUGCCUAUGUGAAAUUGGGAUAACACCUGCCCUGCUAGUGAGGCCAACAGUUGGUUUGAUUCCAACAACUGAAUUAGCAUUGGCUGGAUAUAGAAUGGAUCCUGCUGUUUCUGUCCCCAAUGCUAGUGCUGCAAGGUUUGCUGCUACUGAUGUUGCAGAACCAGUGCUUGACCCUGAUGGAUCAGCACUUGCUACAUAAGGAUUCUGUAAUAACAUGAGUAAAAACACCAAAUACAUUUUUAGUCAAAUUGUUCUUAAAAAAAAAGGCAAUCUGGUGCACGAAACAUUCUGCAUUCAGGCAAAAUCCGUCAAUGCCAGCAACAUCCCAAGAGGGUACAAUGUAGGUAAUCUACCCCGACACAAGCAACGGCUCGCAAAUGUGAGGUCACACGAAGGUAGCUUUACCUUUGCUCCAACUUAAAGUAGUAUAUACACUAAAUUUGUUUGUGGCACGGUGUUUAAGAAAGUAAAGAAGAUUCUCCAAUCUUGUGAUCUCAAAUAAGGGGAAAGGACAUAAAUGUCACCUCGCCUAAAAUAUUUCCACUGAUAUAGGCAUUGAUUUGGCAAUUCCAAUAGAUAGCCAUUUAGGCUUUUCUGUCGCUGCGACUAUCCUUCUUUUUUUUUUUUUUUUCCUUAUUUAUUGUUUAAUUUUUAAUGUCAAUUAUUUUAUAGGUUACAUUCUCUUCCUUCCUAUUUUUUUUGUUUGUUUUUCACUAUUUUUUUUCUUCUCUCUUUUAAUGUUGUUAAUUUUUUUUUUUGAGAAAAGUCCACUCUGUCCACCUAUUUAUUUUUGUAGAUGCGAUCACGAAAAUAAAAAUAUGAAAUACAAGUCCACCCAUAAUGUUCUAUCUCUUUUCAUACGAGUUAACACUAUAGCGGCACUUUGAUUUUUUUUCUUUCUGCUCUCUCUCUUUUUAAUUAAAAAAAUUAUGGAAUGUUUGGAUAGUAAGGGUACAAGGUUUAAUAAAUUUUGUAUAUGCUUGCACAAAUUUUCACAAAAUUUUAGGUGAAGUUAAAAAAUUCACGAAUAACGAAUUACUAUAGAUGCU
rnacentral:lncRNA from 1 species